rnacentral:ncRNA from 1 species
AGCUCAUCGAGAGGGGCGGAGGGAACGGCCCGACGAAGCCCCGGCAACCACCGUGCGUAGCUCGCGACCAGGCGAGGCCGACGCGCGGCAUGGUGCCAAAUCCGUCUCGCGGCGAAGGUCGUCCGCGGGAGAGAUGACAG